UACGGGGGGGGCAAGCGUUGUUCGGAAUUACUGGGCGUAAAGGGCUCGUAGGCGGCCAACUAAGUCGGACGUGAAAUCCCCAGGCUCAACCUGGGAACUGCGUCCGAUACUGGAUGGCUUGAAUCCGGGAGAGGGAUGCAGAAUUCCAGGUGUAGCGGUGAAAUGCGUAGAUAUCUGGAGAAAUACCGGUGGCGAAGGCGGCAUCCUGGACCGGCAUUGACGCUGAGGAGCGAAAGCUAGGGGAGCAAACGGG
rnacentral:rRNA from 1 species